CAAAUAACUCCCGUUCGCCGCUUAAAACAGCCUGUUUAGGUCAUUAUGACGUCACACCUGUUUCUAAAUAUUUACGAUGUCAAUCACAUCCAUUUUAGCCGAUCAAAAAAGCGCCACUUAAAGCGCCCACGUCGCCGCGCCUUUAAUAUCGUGGCCAAUAGGAAACGCCCCCUCAACUGUUUUUUAUUUUGGCUGAAGUAGGACCCAGGAAGCUGUCGCUCGCUCAUAUGCCUGAGGUUUAUAAAGCAUUUUGCCCGAUGUUUCAAUAAACUGUUAGAUGUUAAUGCAGUACUUAACAUGUCUUUUUUUUGCGAAACUCAACACAGGAAACGAACAUGAGAAAAGCUGCUUCUACGUUUGUAAACUUACAAUGACAGGUGGUAUUGCAUAACUUCAUGUAGUAAAAAUGUUUCUUAAACGUCCACCGUUCUGUGCAUACUUGUCAAAUUGCUCAAAUAUAUACGUGGUUUAGAAGAACAGUUAUAGAAGUUGGUUGUGGUGACGCGAACAUUAAAAAUAAUGUGACAUACUGGUAGUAAUUGCAGUGGAAUAACUGCUUGAUUGUUACGAUUGACAUCAGCUAUACUCCACAUUCAAGUCUGCACAUGCGUUCAUUGUUAUUGUCAUGGACACAGUUGGUUUCUUCAAAUUAGCUUUGAAAUUAUAAUAACUAUAUGUAGAGGGUUAGGUCCGAAAGGAAAGGAUGAGAAAACUCAGAUCGUUAAAGUGAGGGGAAAAAAGUACACGCUCUUUUUUCCGAAGAGAAGACUUUGGACAGGAUCGCCGCGACAUGUCGGCGCACGUGCGCGCGAGUAGGCUGCGUGCGCGCGGAUCAGGCGAACGCCAUGGGCCUCCCGUCGUGACCGCGGCGGCACUCCGUCGGGUCCUGUUAGGCAGCCCGUGCGGGGCUGUGCCGGAGACCCCGUGCCGCCUGCAUCUCUGUCGUCUCGGUUGACAUGGAUGAUGAAGAUGGCAGGUGCUUGUUAGAUGUAAUUUGGUAAGUGUUUGCUCUCUCUUUCUAUUAUUUUGCAGCUUAUAUGGAGAAAACAUAAUCA
rnacentral:lncRNA from 1 species